AAAUCCUUAAAAAAAGCAGUACCAUCAAAAUCUCCUAAGCGACCGGUUUCUACGAAACGAAGCGAAAAGUUAGACGAUAUUGUGAUUGAGCUUCUCAUUCUUGAGGUUGAGAAGAGAAUCCCAUUGUGGAACUUCACAAUCCCGAUUAAAGAACGAAGUCGAGAAACGGUCUCAAAUUUGUGGGAAGAAGUUUCGACAGCACUCAAUGGAAAAAUUAGUGGCCCGGACGCAAAGAAAAAAUUUAAAAGCUUGAGAGAUGUAUACCGACGAAUUAUUCAUGCUGAACAACUACCAAGUGGCUCUGGACGCGUUAAUCAAAAAGAGAAAUGGAAAUUUUACGCCUAAAUGGAAUUUCUACGUGAUAUUUGUCUUGUUCGACCAACAAGUAGUAAUGUUAGCCGAGUUGUCGAAGGGGAGCAUGACGAAAAUGAAUGUGAUCAAUCGAUCGAUUUAAGUGAGAGCGUCGAUGAAUAAGUCAAUGAAGAG